rnacentral:rRNA from 1 species
AGAGUUUGAUCCUGGCUCAGGACGAACGCUGGCGGCGUGCUUAACACAUGCAAGUCGAACGGAAAGGCCCUUUCGGGGGUACUCGAGUGGCGAACGGGUGAGUAACACGUGGGUGAUCUGCCCUGCACUUUGGGAUAAGCCUGGGAAACUGGGUCUAAUACCGGAUAGGACUACGCGAUGCAUGUCGUGUGGUGGAAAGCUUUUGCGGUGUGGGAUGGGCCCGCGGCCUAUCAGCUUGUUGGUGGGGUGAUGGCCUACCAAGGCGACGACGGGUAGCCGGCCUGAGAGGGUGACCGGCCACACUGGGACUGAGAUACGGCCCAGACUCCUACGGGAGGCAGCAGUGGGGAAUAUUGCACAAUGGGCGCAAGCCUGAUGCAGCGACGCCGCGUGAGGGAUGACGGCCUUCGGGUUGUAAACCUCUUUCAGUGCCGACGAAGCGCAAGUGACGGUAGGCAUAGAAGAAGGACCGGCCAACUACGUGCCAGCAGCCGCGGUAAUACGUAGGGUCCGAGCGUUGUCCGGAAUUACUGGGCGUAAAGAGCUCGUAGGUGGUUUGUCGCGUUGUUCGUGAAAACUCACAGCUCAACUGUGGGCGUGCGGGCGAUACGGGCAGACUUGAGUACUGCAGGGGAGACUGGAAUUCCUGGUGUAGCGGUGGAAUGCGCAGAUAUCAGGAGGAACACCGGUGGCGAAGGCGGGUCUCUGGGCAGUAACUGACGCUGAGGAGCGAAAGCGUGGGGAGCGAACAGGAUUAGAUACCCUGGUAGUCC